rnacentral:lncRNA from 1 species
CCACCAUCAUAUAUGUGGUCUACUGUUGACGCAAACUUCAUUUUGCAGCACAUGAUUGUAAAUGAUUGACAGAAAGAUCUUCAGCAAAAUAUUCCACCCAAGAUACGUGGGAGAUAUUGAGAUCCAAGCAAUAAGCCAUAUUUGAAAGGCAUUAUAGUUUUCAAAAGCUGUAGCGCAAUCAUUCUUAAGGCCAGUUACCUUCUCCCCACAUCUCUGGGAUCCUGUUUGAAGGGAGUUCUAACAAGGCCUGUGUUCGAGCAGCCCAGCAUCCCUUACUCCUGGAGCGGGGGGAGACUAACCCCUCUCCUGUGUCCACAACUGUAGUAACACAAUCCUCGGUUCUGCUCUCCAAACUUCAAAUAAGGGGUCAGAGCCAAGGGUCAAGACUUUAGGAAAAGCCCCGGAAAUACCCUGCACUCAAAAAGCAGUUUCAGAGUUUCACAUUUUCCUGAGAAUUAAACAAAUUAUCCUCCAAAUUCUGCUGCUUGUUUUGAAUUAUGGUUAUACUGGCAAUGUUAUCCAACCCUUGAGUUGUUUUUCUUUUCUUUUUUUUUUUUUCCUCGAGAGAGUGUCUUGCUCUGUCACCCAGGCUGGAAUGCAGUGGCAUGAUCUCGGCUCACUGCAACCUCCGCCUCCUGGGUUCAAGUGGUUUUCAUGCCUCAGUUUCCCAAGUAGCUGGGAUUACAGGUGUGAGCCACUGUGCCCGGCCCUGUUACCUUUGAGUUUUUAUCUCCACAUACUUAUAUUAAACCGUGUAGUUCUUCUUCCCAUCUGACAUCUACAAUCUCUUCACUGGGUCUGUACUCCAUAGCUAUUUUACCACUUUCUGAAAUAAAGUUAGCAAGGAUGAAUUCAGAAUCUUUUUCAUUCCAAAACUUCCUGCAUAUAAUGGUAGCAACCCACAAUGAGACAUUCUUUUAGUUUCUAAAAGCAGGAAAUAAGCAUUUUCCUGAAAGUUUCCUCAUCUCUUCAUCAUACACUUCGAUUUUUGUUUUUCUUUUUUCUUUUAGACAGGGUCUCACUCUGUCACCCAGGCUGGAGUACAGUGGCACUAUCAUAGCUCACUGUAGCCUGGAAUUCCUGGGCUCAAGUCAUCCUCCUGCUUCAGCCUCCAGAGUAGCAGGCACUAUAUCACUGUGCCCAUCUAAUUCUCUUUUUUAGAGACAUGGUCCCGCUUUGUUUUCCAGGCUGGUCUCGAACUCCUGGCUUGAAGUGAUCCUUCUGUCUUGGCCUCCCGAAAUGCUGAGAUUUCAAGCGUGAGUCAUCAUGUCUGGUCUCACAGCUCAGUUUUUAACAUAUGUAUGAAAUAUCAACUGUGUUUGGUUCAAAGGACUUUAUGAUCUUACAGAUAGGAACUAAGGAAUAAUAACAUAAGAAAUAAAAAAUGUGGAAAUAAAAACGUUCAAUCAUAAUAUGAUUAAAAGGUAAGGCACCAGGUGGGGGGUCGAAGUAAGUUCAAAUCCAAAAUAGAGACCACUGGGCUAGUAGACACUUCACAUUAGAAGCAUGGCUAGGUGUCUACUCCCUGAGAACCAAAAUUCCACCAGAUACAAUGAACAAAGCUUUAGAGAGAGAAAACAUUUGAACAUUUUACGGGCAGAAAAUGGCCCACAUACUCUAUAGACAAUACAAUUUCCUUCAAGGCAAACUAGAACUAUAAGGCUUUUGGUCUAAGAAGUGAGUGUGUGCAAGGGAUACCUUUGCAUACUAGGGAGGGGUAGACAACCCACACAUUUAGCUUGGUUAUUAAAUGUCAUUACUCAGACUUGACAGUUGAUGACCAAGGAAGUAAGACUUUCACUAGAAUGGCUGCCCAGGUUGGAAAGCUGAGAGCAAUCAGGGCCACCUCUUACAAGCAAAUAAAGGUCUGUAGUAACUUAAUUACAAUCUCAGUCUCUAAGCCUUCAGGGUUGUGAAGCAGAAAGGCAACUCUGUUCAGGGACUCGUUAAACACCAGGUUUCCUUUGGGCACAGGCUAUGACAUUUGUGCCACUGUAGAACUGAAUAGGAAAUACAAGCAGUGCCAUUCAACAGCAUGACCACUUCCAAGGCUCACAGCAAAGCAGCUGAUUAUUGUAUAAGAAUCAUAUUUGGCCAAUAUGUCAGUGCCAGAAAUGAGAGCUGGAACUGAAUUCUCGAUUCGAGAAACAUAAUCUAAUAAAUUCUUCAGCAGAGUUUAUUUAUUCAGAGAGAAAACAAUCACAACAAUAGCAUAUUUUGUCUGCUUACCUUGUAAGUAUAGUUCUGAGUUUUUACACUUGUCAUCUCAUUUUUUCUUACAAUAUCCGCAAUAAGGUUGAUUGGAUUACUAACCCCAGUUUGCAGAUAAAGAUUGCAGCUUAGAGAUAUUAAAUAUCUUCAAAUCUCUCUGGCCAUAAGACCUAAAACUGCAUACAAAAAUCUAAGAGACAGAGUUAGGACUCAAAUCCAUGUGUCCAGGGCUUAUAAUCACUAUUCUGUACGAUAGGCAUGCAAUUAAAGAAGACCUGCCUCAAACAUUUUCUGUGUGACCUGAGGCAAGUCCUUUUAUAGCUAUAAACUAGGGACAAUAUUUGCUGUCAUUUUUUCUACAAAUGUCACAAAGAACAAAUUUGAGCCUGUCGCUGUGAAAGAACUUAGCAAAUGAAAGCAUCCUAGGGAGUGUUUUAGAUAUCGAUAUUUUUAUCCAAUUAACUUUUCAAAAUGAGUUUAUUUGCUCACUGAAACUGAAGUACUUCAACGACGAUUAAGAAAGUUUUACCUAGAACCACAAUCAACAGUUUCUGGAAUGCAUCUGACAAAGCCUUCUCAAUAGCAAUCUGGGCUAUCUUCCCUUUCAUAGGAAUGACAACGGUCUUAAAUCCAACCCAAACUAAUGGAUUUAAGAUGCCUAUCUGAGUGAUCAUUGCUACAUGUUGGUUAAAAAAUAAAAAUGCAUCCACGAAUCUUAGCUCAUAAUCUUCGUGAUUAAAGGCAGACAGCACAAGGGUAUGGUUGAACGUCUCUGUUAUAGGUACAUCCUGGCAGGGCCCAUUUUUACUGCCUCCAUCUAGUUGGGAAGUUCCUAAAGUACUAGAGGGAGACACAAGCCAAGAACCUGGCACAUAUCUCACAUCACCCAGAGAUUUAAUUCAUCAGUUAAGGCUACACUCCUAUGGACCCCACCCUCCUAUGCAUCAAGGGCUGGAAUCACUCACUGAAAAAAAGCUUUGUUGGCUGGACACGGUGGCCCAUGCCUGUAAUCCCAGCACUUUAGGAUGCCAAGGCGGGUUGAGGCCAGGAGUUCAAGAACAGCCUAGCCAACGUGGUGAAACCCCAUCUCUCCUAAAAAUACAAAAAUUAGCCGAGUGUGGUGGCACACACCUGUAAUCCCAGCUACCUGGGAGUCUGAGGCACAAGAAUAGCUUGAACCGGGAGGCGGAGGUUGCAGUGAGCCGAGAUCAUUCCACUGCACUCCAGCCUGGGUGACAGAGUAAGACUAUUUUCAAAAAGAGGCCAGGCACAGUGGCUCAUAUCUGUAAUCCCAGUACUUUGAGAGGCCAAGAUGGGCAGAUCACUUGAGGUCAGGAGUUUGAGACCAGCCUGAGCAACAUGAUGAAACCCUGUCUCUACUAAAAAAUUUUUUAAAAAUUAAAAAUUGGCUGAGUGUGGUGGUGGGCAGGAGGGAGGUGAACUGCUUGAACCUGGGAGGUGGAGGUUGCAGUGAGCCGAGAUCACACCGGUGCACUCCAGCCUGGGCGACAGAGCAAGACUCUGUCUCAAAAAAACAAAAAAGGUUUGGUACAGAUAAUCUGGCUCCUCCCUGGGCAUCAUCCAUGAAAGCCUACUCCCCUCCAUUAGCCUACAGCCCUGCCUCUGACUUCAAACCCUAAGCCUGAGGGCCAUGAGUACUAGAAAAAAAUCUCAACGUCAGUUAUCAAUUGAGUACCCUUUCUAGUAUCUCUAGUAGACUCUUGUUCCACUGAAGCCCUUCUACGAGUAAAAAAAAGGCUGAAUGGGCCGGGCGCAGUUGCUCAUGCCUGUAAUCCUAGCACUUUCAGAGGCCAAGGCAGAUGGAUCACGAGGUCAGGAGUUUGAGACCGGCCUGACCAACACAGUGAAACCCCAUCUCUACUAAAAAUACAAAGAUUAGCCAGGCAUGGUGGUGCAUGCCUGUAAUCCCAGCUACCCAGGAGUGUCAGGCAGGAGAAUCACUUGAACCUGGGAGGUGGAGGUUGCAGUGAGCCGAGAUCACACCACUGCACUCCAGCCUGCGCGACAGGGCAAGACUCUGCUUCAAAAAAAAAAAAAAGACAAUGUUUACACAAAACUUUCUGUAAAUCUUUACAUGAUGACUUGGCAUGGUGGGUGGCUCAUGCCUAUAACUCCAGCACCUUGGGAUCCUGGGGCAAGAGGAUCACUUGAGGCCAGGAGUUUGAGACCAGGCAGGACAACACAGCAAGACCCCAUCUCCAGAAAAAAUAAUUAGCCACAUGUGGUGGCGCACGCCUGUAGUCCUGGCUAGUCAGGAGGCUAAGGUGGGAGGAUCCCUUGAGCCCAGCAGUUUGAGGUUGCAAUGAGCUAUGAGCAUGCUACUGCACUCUAGCCUGGGCAACAGAGCAAGACCCUGUCUCUAAAAAAUAAUAAUAAAUAGAUAAACAAAUCUUUAGAUAAUUUUGUUGGGAUAACUGAAGGCUAUAAGAGAUACAUAUUUGAAGGACUAUUUUAGACGAGAUUGGGCGCGUUCAGGGUGGUAUGGCUGUAGACUUGAAGGACUAUUUUAAUACAAAGCAAGUUCUUAACCGAAAACUGGAAAAACAUUACUUCCUUCUUCCUCCUACGCUUCUUGGCAGGAAGUACACUGUACAAUUUUAAAUUUAAAGGUUCUGGCCGGGUGGGCCACCACGCCUGGCAAUGAAGACUAAUUUUUAAACGUUGAGUGCUACCACGGAGACCAGCCUGUAUCAUGAGUCACAGUGGAGACUUUCGGAACAUCUAGGAAACUUCAGAAGGGCUCUAAGCCCCUGGGUGGUACAGACAGUUGUCACCUUGGAUAACGUUGCCACAGUUCUUGCUGGCGACCAUUUCCCUUCAUUUCACUGAAACAAAAACAAAAACAAAAAACCCUCACAGAUGCCUUAGGCCUUUCCUUGAUUUUAAAACAUUAUUCUCUUUUCUGUAUUUAUAAAAACCAAAAAAGACAGGAACUAGGUGCA